CCUCGGUCGGCUGUCCCCGGCGGCGCGUGCGCAGGCCGAGCGGUGGCUUUAAUUGGCCUGGAGAAAUGGCGCGCCUUGCCCGUGUGGGAUGUCUGGUCGCGUUCUGAGGAGAUCCCGGGUCCCUGAUUCUUUCCCGGGUGCUUCUUGGACCCAAGUCCAGCUGGGUCUCCGUGUCCGCGGGUCCUGGGCUGGCGACGGCUGCUCUUUCCGUUCCCCCAUCCCGAUGGACGAGCCUCCCUGGAAGCCCCUCAGCUACGCCGAGAAGGAAAAGUUGAAGAAAAAAUUAGCAUUUUUGAAAAGGGAAUACAGCAAGACACUGGCCCGCCUUCAGCGUGCCCAAAGAGCCGAGAAGGUUAAGAAUUCUGUUACGAAAACAGUGGAACAGGAUUGCUCUCCCCAGCGUGAAAUCUCACUACAGCUAAACCACUCAGAACCUAAAAAUGAAGGAUCUCCUCAUGGAAAGUUACAGAUCAGUAUCCAUCUUGAUGAGGAAACUGGAGAAAAGACAUCUGUGACACUUGAUGAUGAGGCUGAGUCUUUUAACUCUGAAGAUGGCCUAGAAGAAGGGUUAUGUUUACAAAGAACAGAUGACACCCAAGAGCACUUACCCUAUAAGGUCAAUGAUCCUGUUGCUGAGAAAAGACAGAGUGAGCUGCCUGGGAGAAAAAAGCAGCCAAAGAGAACACUUAAUUCACAGGAAAGAGGUUUCUUUGACAUCAGUUCCCUCAUACUCUCUGGCAAAAGGUUAAAGAAACAGGAAGUAAUCAAUAACAAAAAUCCUACGUUAUCAGUAACUGAAGUAACACACCUUUCAAGUCCUGAAUCUGAAAUUCCAGAUUUUCCAGCACCAGUUACAGAAAAUGAUGGAGAGAGUGAAUUAAUUCCACCAACUGCCAAGUUAGAAAGAGGUGUUGCUAUAUCCUCAAGAGGAAAUAAGUUUUUCAAGGAGGCUGCAGUUCCUUUGCAUACUAUAACAGACUGCAGUAAUAGUCAGCACCUUGAACAUGUCCCUCCUGAAGGUCACUAUGAAUUUACAUCUCAGGGAUUUAAAAACAUUAACUCUGUUUCAUCCAUAAACCUGGAAGCACAAGGCAUAAAAAUGACUGUCUGCACAGAUAACGAAGUAAUAAAUGAAGCUGUAAGUACAAGUAGCCAGCUGCCUCAAAGUCCUAAUUUACAGGCAGAUGAUGCAUAUUCUGUAAAUAAACUCAUUUACAAUAACUCAUCAGCAAAUAUAAGCCAAAAUGUAAAUGAAAAAAAUCACGCAGAGAAAUCUUUAAAAUCUCUCAGUAAUAUUCUCGACAGUAGAAGUGUAAACCUCCAGGAAGAUGAAGUUCUAAGUCAGCCUAAAAAUCUUAGCCUAGAAGUGGUCUCUCCUGUUUCUACAGAAAAUCAGAAUCAUUCUUGCACAAUGCUUGAAGGCCUUCUAUUUCCUGCAGAAUACUAUGUUAGAACAACACGUCACAUGUCAAACUACCAGAGGAAAGUAGCCCUGGAAGCUGUAAUUCAGAGUCAUUUGGGUGCCAGGAAAAAAGGGUUUAAAAAUAAAAUUAAAGAAGUAACUAAAGAUGUAAAGCUUUCUAUUGAAGAAACUGACCAGAGUGAAGGUAGGAUUUCAAGUACAUGCCCAGUUCACCCAAAUUCGAAAAGUCCUCUGGAACUUCUCUCAUUAGCUGAAGUCAUCUCUCCUGCUGGAGCCACUGAGGACAGUGGCUGUUCUAGGAAGACUAUUUCACAGCCAUGUGGUAGGAGACACAGAAGAAAAAGAAAAUCCGUCAGCACCUCCGCCCUAGAUCACUGUGAACUGCUUUUGCCAGCUUCCAGUAUAUCAAGUGUUAACAGUUCUGAGGAUAAAGUCACAUGGUACAGACGUCAGGCUAAGAAGGCAGUUGUUCAUGAUAAGAGGGUUAAAGGGAAGGAAGUUCAUUGUCAAAAAGAAGAGUCCCUUUAUCCCAGUGACAGUGCUUCUUUAGCUUUGGAUGGUGAUGCUUUCACUUCUUCAUUUCAUAAGAAGGAAAUGCUGAAUUUAAAGCAACUGUUGUCUUCUCUCAGUAUGACAGACUUUGAGUUACCUGAUGAGGAUUUUGGGCCUCUUAAGCUGGAAAAACUGAAGUCCUGCUCUGAAAAGCCAAGUGAGCCUCUGGAAUCAAAAAUAUGUGCAGAAAGACAUCUGAAAGAGGGAAAUUAUAUUGUUCUGCAGGAACCAAUUCCUAACCGGCUAGAUGCAGCAACGGAAGACUUGGGAGAGGACCUAGUUCUACCAGAAAAAGCACAUCUUCAAGUGCCAAACAAAAAAAGCCAGCCUACAAAUAAGAAGCUUUCUUCGUCCAUGCUACUUUUCACUCCUUCCAACACUGCUGCCCCGAACGACAGUGACCCUCCUGCCGCAGACCUGUGCUCCCCGGCUCUCCCCAUUGUGGGCACUACUCCCGCCUUGGGCUCCCAGGCUUGCUCUGGAAAAGCAUCUGCUGAGGGCGGACAGACUUGCUCUAUACCCCAACUUUCUCACUUGGAAGACACAGUUCUUCUUGCCAGUGACAGUAAACAGUGUGACAGUUCAUCAGAACUGGAUACCAGUUUGCGAGUGUCAGGUAGGCGAGGACAGUCUGCCUGCCACCAUGACGCUGGCCCCCAGGCAGCACCACUACUCAUUGAGUCAUUUGCUUUCAGAGAAAAUCAGCUCUGUGGAAAUGCGUGCCUGGAGUUGCAUAAACAUUCCACUGAACAGACUGAAAUAGCAGAUCGUCCUGUUUGUGAUAGCUUAAACUCGGGUAGCCUACAAUUGGUUUCAAAGUUAAAGAAUCCUUCUGGUUCCUGUUCCGUGGAUGUGAGCGUCAUGUGGUGGGAAGAAGCUGGUUUUAAAGAGCCACGUAUCAUAACUGCUUGUGAAUAUGUAGUUUCUCUUUGGAAACCCAUGGACCCUUGUCAGUGGGAAAAAAUUCAUACCUGGCACUUCACAGAGGUUCCUGUAUUACAGAUAGUUCCAGUGCCUGAUGUUUGUAAUCUUGUGUUUGUAGCUUUGGGAAAUUUGGAAAUCAGAGAAAUCAGGACAUUACUUUGUUCCUCUGAUGAUAAAAAUGAAAAGCAAAAGCUACUGAAGUCUGGAAAUAUAAAAGCUGUGCUUGGCCUGACAGAGAGGAGGCUUGUGAGCAGCAGUGGGACCCUUUGUGACCAACAAGUAGAAGUCGUGACCUUUGCGGACGAUGGAGGGACCAAGGAAAAACAAUUUUUGAUGCCCCCCAAAGAAACUAUACUAACUUUUGCUGAGGUCCAAGGGAUGCAGGAAGCUCUGCUUGGUACCACUGCCAUGAACAAUGUUACUAUCUGGAAUUUAAAAACUGGGCAACUCCUGAAAAAGAUACGCAUUGAUGAUUCUUACCAAGCUACAGUGUGUCACAAAGCCUACUCUGAAAUGGGGCUCCUGUUUGUUGUCCUGAGUCAUCCUUGCGCCAAAGAGACUGAGUCCUCGGGCAGCCCUGUGUUUCAGCUGAUUGUGAUGAACCCUAAAACGACCCUGAACAUGGGUGUGAUGCUGUACUGUCUUCCACCAGGGCAGGCUGGAAGGCAAGUGUGUGUGACUGCCAUCGAUCAGUGGGUGUGGCAUGUUGGAAGGCACUGUGCAAAUACAUAAACUAGGUAUUUUGUGUCAUUCUGAUAAAUGGAAAGCAUGAAAAAUAGAGAUCCUAAUAGGAAUGUUAAGAAGUAGGGUGAUGUUUCAUAGAUUUCAGUCAAACCCCAGAUGCCCUAUGUCCUGAUUCCUGGCCAUUUAGGGUUAGAUAUGUUUCUUUUUUUUUUUUUUUUUUUUGGUACCAGGGAUCAAACUCGGGAUCUUGUGCUUGCAAGGCAGGCACCAGAACCACUGAGCUAAAUCCCCGGCCCAGGGUUAGAUAUGUUUCUUAUGUGUAUUCAAGCCUUGUUUUUUCCCAUAGGAAGAUGUUUUGAAUACACACAGAGCAGUGAAUGUUCUCUACACAAGUCUGCAGUACAUGUUCUGUCCAGAGACCCAAACUAAGGAACUUGGAAAGGCACUUUAGGAAAGCAUCUUUGCCUUGAAAUCUGACUGAGCCCAUGGUAUAGGCAGUUGUUCUUUAUUUCUUGACCAAUUUCAGUAACAUAACUCUUGGGAUACCAAGAGUUUUCUGAGCUGUAUAGAACUUUGGAGAAGUACUGGUAUUAUUAGGUCAAUCAAGAACCAUCUGAAUGUGUAAGUCCUAAGGGCUGCUUUUAUUAAUGUUUGAAAUUAACAGCAAGGAUUGAAAAUACCAAAAUAAAUCAAGAUCACAAAGUCUAGCUUUAAUAACUCAAAAGGAUAAGGAACCUUCACGGUUACAAUGCAUGUUUCUUUGGACCUUGUGCAACACUUGCUUGUUUUAAAAGACAUUUUCUCUCCCUAUGUACUUAGCCAGGCAGAGUACUUCUGUAAAUAUUCUUAUCAAGAACAUCAGAACAUCUGCACUCUGUGCCUACACUUUAAACUUGCUUUCAUUUUUUGUUUUUUUUGAGACAAGGUAUUGCUAUGUAGUUCAGGCUGGCCCUGAACAUCCAGUGAUACUCCUGCCUCAGCCUCCUGAGUGCUGGGAUUAGAGGUGUGCAUCACCACACCGAGAUGAACUUGCUUUCUUUGUCAUUUCUAAGUCAUUGGUUUAGAAAUGGAGGAUAAAGAUAGCUACUUGAUGAAGUAUUUAUUUUGUCACUUUUUAAACCCUGAAUGCCUGUUUGGUGCCAAAACCGUAAAAACCAUCUCAGUCCAUCUGGCUGAAGAAAACACCAGAAAGUAGGUAGCUUACAAAUAACAGGCAUUUAUUUCUAACAGUUCUGGAAGUGGGAAAUCCAGAAUCAAGACAGGGCAAAUCCAGUGUCUGUCCAUCUCCUUUGUAGAUGGGAAUUUCUCACUGUCUUCACACAGUGAACAGUAGUAGGAGCUAUUAUAUAGGUAUUGUAAGAAGUACUCAUAUCAUCAUGCCUAUUUUGCUGAGGAGAUUUACUUGCCCAGUGUCACACAGCUCUUGUAACCCAGACAGUUGACUGCACUGUUCUUGUUUUUAAAAGGCAACCAGGUUUCUGCUUCAUGGUAUUUACAUUUUUUUUGGGGGGGGGUUCCCACCAAAUAGAAAAAUCAGACAAUCUAAUAGUGAGAAGUUCUAUGAAGACAAGAACAGAUAAUAUAAAGAGAGACAGGAAGUUCGUGUAUGUGCAUCUUCAUAGCACUGGCAGGUGUGAUCUGUCCACGGCAGUGACUGAGCUCUGACCUGAGGAUGGAACCCAGGGGAAAGAGCAGUAAGCGGAGCCCCUGAGGGAGGCUGAGUUGGCUCGGGAGAGUUGCUGAGCCAGCUGCAAGAGGAGUCAAAGACAGGCAGGGGAGAGGCUUGUGAUUAUGUCCAGAACUGCAACACAAGCCAGCAGUCCUGCACGGUUGUCAAUAUUGGCAUUCACAGGUUCCUAGAAGGGGACGUGAAAGAUCACUUUGCGGCAGCAGUCUUGACUUCGGGAACAAUUGCCAUUUGGGACUUACUCCUAGGCCACUGCACUGUUCUCCUUCCUCCCAGCUCUGCCCAAAGCUGGUCUUUUGUAAAAUGGUCAGGUACAGAUUCUCAUGUGCUGGCUGGACAAAAAGAUGGCAAUAUAU